rnacentral:rRNA from 1 species
UACGGGGGGGGCAAGCGUUGUUCGGAAUUACUGGGCGUAAAGGGCUCGUAGGCGGCCAACUAAGUCAUACGUGAAAUCCCUCGGCUUAACCGGGGAACUGCGUCUGAUACUGGAUGGCUUGAGUUCGGGAGAGGGAUGCGGAAUUCCAGGUGUAGCGGUGAAAUGCGUAGAUAUCUGGAGGAACACCGGUGGCGAAGGCGGCAUCCUGGACCGACAUUGACGCUGAGGAGCGAAAGCCAGGGGAGCAAACGGG